rnacentral:rRNA from 1 species
AUUGAACGCUGGCGGCAUGCCUUACACAUGCAAGUCGAACGGCAGCACGGGGCAACCUGGUGGCGAGUGGCGAACGGGUGAGUAAUGCAUCGGAACGUACCUUUCAGUGGGGGAUAACGUAGCGAAAGUUACGCUAAUACCGCAUAUUCUGUGAGCAGGAAAGCAGGGGAUCGCAAGACCUUGCGCUGAUUGAGCGGCCGAUGUCAGAUUAGCUAGUUGGUGAGGUAAAGGCUCACCAAGGCGACGAUCUGUAGCGGGUCUGAGAGGAUGAUCCGCCACACUGGAACUGAGACACGGUCCAGACUCCUACGGGAGGCAGCAGUGGGGAAUUUUGGACAAUGGGCGAAAGCCUGAUCCAGCAAUGCCGCGUGAGUGAAGAAGGCCUUCGGGUUGUAAAGCUCUUUUGUUUGGGAAGAAAUCCUAACGGAUAAUACCUGUUGGGGAUGACGGUACCAAAAGAAUAAGCACCGGCUAACUACGUGCCAGCAGCCGCAGUAACAC